AUCCCACCUGCAGCAAGGAGACCACCACUCAUUCAGCUCGUUUCUCCCUUCGAUCUCUGAACGUCUCCUCUCAAGAUACAUGGAUCUUGAGGUCCUGGAGCAUAUACUUGAUGGAAGAGAGAAGCCAACAAAUCUAUCAUUCACACUUUUGAAGAAUAUCACAGAGAACUUCUCGGACGAUCUAGAAAUCGGUCAUGGUGGAUUUGCAACGGUUUAUAAGGGAGUGCUCCCAAAUGGAAACGUCGCGGUAAAGAGGAUAAGGAACAGUCAUUCAAUCAAUGAGGCUUUGUUUUAUCGUGAAGUUGACAGCCUGUUGAACAUUGAACAUAAAAAUACUGUACGGUUUCUUGGCUUCUGUGCUAGCACAGACCAGACAGCCAUCCAAAUCGAAGGAUCGAAACAACAUAUUUACGCGCUGAGGUAAGAGAAAGACUACUCUGUUUUGAGUAUAUCAGCAAUGGAAGCCUACAAAAAUAUAUCACUGAUGAAUUAAGGGGACUUGAAUGGAGUACACGAUAUGGAAUAAUUAGAGGCAUCUGUGAAGGUCUGUAUCAUCUGCACAAGGAAAAGCAAAUAUAUCAUAUGGAUAUAAAACCCGACAAUAUACUCCUAGAUAAUGAUAUGGCGCAGAAAAUCACGGAUUUUGGCUUAUCAAGACUUGAUGAAAAGACCAAAACCAUGAGUAAAUACCGUCCUGGAUCAUUACGAUAUUGUGCUCCAGAAUACCUACAUCAGGGGAAGAUGUCAUUCAAAUCAGACAUGUACAGUUUGGGUGUUAUAAUUACCGAACUAGUGACAGGAGAAAAGAUGAUCCCGAAUAAUAAUAACAACAAUAGCAGGGCGGAUCGGGCGACGCCCUGCAUCCCUAGCUACUUGAAGCUCAUCCCAGGCAAAGUUGGUGUCUUUGUCCUACAUUAGCCAUCAAGGUACUUAGGAGAUGGAGGCACAGAUGGAAAAAAUCAGGGAAGGAAACACCGUUGGUUUACCAACAAGUAGCAACAUGCAUCAAAAUUGGGCUACUCUGCCAGGAACAUGACCCAUCCAAACGGCCUUUUAUAUGGGAUAUGAUACAUGAUAUAAGAGAAAUUGAAGGUAUUAAUGGAAAAAUCAGCAAUGCCUGUGAACAUUCAUUUCGGCAGAUAGUCCCUUACUCAGAAGACAACAUGCUUGGCAUUGAGCCACUCGAACUACAUUUUCCUUUUGAGCUUAACAAACAGAUGUCAUGCGCACUCCAGCUAACAAAUGAGACAAACUCUUACAUUGCCUUCAACAUCCAAAAUACGAGCCCCUUGUCAUACUGCACAAAACCGCAGAAAGACAUUAUGCCGCCACGAUCCAAGUGUACUGUUGAAAUGACAAUGCAACUGCAGGGCAAGGCACCAGGAUAUAUGCAUCGUGCCAAUGAACUUACUGUGUGGAGCACCAAAGUGAAUGAUAGCCUUGCAGUCGAGGAUAUAACUACAAACAUGUUCAUUAAUGAGGUGGUCAACACGGUUGAUGAGGUGAAUUUGGAUGUGGUUUUUGACGCACAGCUACAAAACGAGCUUCUUGAUGUCCACCCUCUCGAGCUUGGCGUUUCCUUCGAAUCCAACAAGUUUGUAGUUAAAUCCUCAACUGCAAGGCAAGAGUUGCCUUUAGAAAUACAAUGCAAGGACAAGUCGCUGGUUCUAGGCACUAUAGUAAGCAAGGAUCAAGUCGACUCCACUCAGCCACAAGAAGCAAGUUCGGAAACAAGUGAGGCGCAAGAACCACUUGAAGGGGAUGAUGAGAAUAUGUGCAUCUCAGAUGAAGAUCUAAAUGCUCGCGUAGCUCAGGCCCCACCAUGUCUGCUUCAAUUAUUCGUGUAGGAGCAUUGAUCAUGUAUUAUGUCCUUAUGUGUGGAAAAGUAGGGAAACACGGGAGUGGCUAUUUGGCUCCCGAGCUCAGCUGAGCUCGUUAUCUGGACCACCCAGAUUUCUGGGGAUCUGUGCCACUUUUCCUUUUCAUGAGAUAUACGAAUCAGGAUAGGAAGUAAAUACAUGCUUGGUGGGCCCCAGCGGUACAGGAUUCGACGCUAUCCUUUCGUCUCUCUUCCAGAUUUCUGCCCCUCUGGUUCGUGAUGACGACGCCGCCGGUCUCUCUCUAGUUCGUGCCGACCACCGGGCCGACCGGCGCCUGGAGCUUGUUAGAACUAAACAUGGACGUGUAUGUCCUACUAUUAGUCUAACUAGUAACCGAGUAGGCUUAG
rnacentral:rRNA from 1 species